CUUAGCUCAGUUGGUUAGAGCGGCUGACUGUUAAUCAGUAGGUCGUAGGUUCGAGUCCUACAG
rnacentral:tRNA from 1 species